UCUUACAGGCCAGCUUUGUAAAGUGAGAGGCUGUGAUUUGAUGCAAUCAAUUCCCUACACAGGAUUUUCAUUCAUGGGGUUCAGUAUUAAGGCAGUUAAAAUAACCUUGGUUGAAGAGGUAACCCUAUUACGUGGCAGCAAGGCCUCCUAAGAUCAGCUCUAAACCACCAUCACAGCUCUGCUGUGGAGCAGCACUCGGUCACAGCAAAGGUAUUCUUGAGCAGAGAACAUCCAAGCUUUGACACCCUCGGCCCAUUUUCAAGCAAGGGGGCAGAAUGCUGUCAGCCUUCAUAUCACUUGUGGACUGUGAUUCCCCAGAGAAACAGCAGCAGAGGAAGAGAUGCCCUUACUCCCCUCACUCUCAUGGAAUGCUCAUCUUGCACACUAGCUGACCUUUUGAAAUAAGCACUCAUGAUAACCUGCAUUUUCACAACCUUAGCCUUAAAGCCCUUCUUUCAAAAGUAGCCUUUUGUUUCUGAGUGUUCAGCCUGAGCUUGCUCUCCUGAGUGCCUGUUGCCAAGGGUUCUUUAAGGAAUAUGCUGAGACAGGGGCUGAGUGGCCCUUUCGUGCCCCCACCCCAUCUGUUUCAAGAUAGGCAUCCAAAAAUCAAGAUAAAUGAACUUGAGUGAAUGAUUGUUCAAAACAGGAGUCUAUGGAACUUUCCCAUGGCCAUGGAGAUUGUCAAUGGAAUAAAUGAAUUGUUAUUGCUUCCCAGACUUGUACAACCU